rnacentral:lncRNA from 1 species
CAUAUCUAUAAUAAAUAAAUAAUAAAAUAAAAUUAAUUAAUAUAUAUAUAUGAUCAAUUCAAUAUAAAAUUAAUUUAAGUAUAAAAUUUUUAUCAAUCUAUCGGCUAUAACAUAUGUGCCAACAGAGCCAUCGAUGUGCUUCAUUGGAUCUUACUGGGUGGUCCGAUUCUGUCAUGCCCUCUACCACCUAUCAGAGUACUCCUUAGUGCUCCACCGAUUACAGAGGGCCUCUCAUAUGUCCAUCCAUAUCUAGUGAUCUGUGUAAGACUUUCAGUCCGAUGAUGACUUAAAACUGGAAUGCUCUAUGACGGACUGCCUAAGGCUGCAUAGCCCAGUCUAGAGCCUA